rnacentral:rRNA from 1 species
AUUGAACGCUGGCGGCAUGCCUUACACAUGCAAGUCGAACGGCAGCGGACCUUCGGGUGCCGGCGAGUGGCGAACGGGUGAGUAAUAUAUCGGAACGUACCUUUCAGUGGGGGAUAACGUAGCGAAAGUUACGCUAAUACCGCAUAUUCUGUGAGCAGGAAAGCAGGGGAUCGCAAGACCUUGCGCUGAUUGAGCGGCCGAUAUCAAAUUAGCUAGUUGGUGAGGUAAAGGCUCACCAAGGCGACGAUCUGUAGCGGGUCUGAGAGGAUGAUCCGCCACACUGGAACUGAGACACGGUCCAGACUCCUACGGGAGGCAGCAGUGGGGAAUUUUGGACAAUGGGCGCAAGCCUGAUCCAGCCAUGCCGCGUGAGUGAAGAAGG